GGAUGUAGCUCAGUGGUAGAGUGCUUGCCUAACAUGCAUGCAGCCUUGCGUUCAAUUCCCAGUACCUCCA
rfam:Ictidomys tridecemlineatus contig094616, whole genome shotgun sequence.